GAUGAACGCUGGCGGCGUGCCUAAUACAUGCAAGUCGAGCGAACAGACGAGGAGCUUGCUCCUCUGACGUUAGCGGCGGACGGGUGAGUAACACGUGGAUAACCUACCUAUAAGACUGGGAUAACUUCGGGAAACCGGAGCUAAUACCGGAUAAUAUAUUGAACCGCAUGGUUCAAUAGUGAAAGACGGUUUUGCUGUCACUUAUAGAUGGAUCUGCGCCGCAUUAGCUAGUUGGUAAGGUAACGGCUUACCAAGGCGACGAUGCGUAGCCGACCUGAGAGGGUGAUCGGCCACACUGGAACUGAGACACGGUCCAGACUCCUACGGGAGGCAGCAGUAGGGAAUCUUCCGCAAUGGGCGAAAGCCUGACGGAGCAACGCCGCGUGAGUGAUGAAGGUCUUCGGAUCGUAAAACUCUGUAAUUAGGGAAGAACAAAUGUGUAAGUAACUAUGCACGUCUUGACGGUACCUAAUCAGAAAGCCACGGCUAACUACGUG
rnacentral:rRNA from 1 species